rnacentral:rRNA from 1 species
UGAGGAACAUGACCUUCGGCGGGGGGACAGCCGGCCCAACGGCCGGGUAAUACCGCGUACGACCACAUGGGGACAUCCCUGAGUGGUGAAAGCAGCAAUGCGCCGAUGGAGUGCCUCGCGGCCUAUCAGCUAGUUGGUGAGGUAACGGCUCACCAAGGCGACGACGGGUAGCCGGCCUGAGGAGGGUGACCGGCCACACGUGGGACUGAGACACGGCCCAGACUCCCGUACGGGGA